AUGGAUGUCAAGUCGGCCUUCCUAAAUGGUGAUCUGGUUGAAGAGGUAUAUGUGACCCAGCCGCCAGGCCAUGAGAUAGAAGGGAAGGACAGUAAGGUGUAUCGCUUGCACAAGGCGUUGUAUGGGCUCAAACAAGCGCCAAGGGCAUGGAACUCCAAGCUGGAUGCAACACUCUCUGAACUAGGCUUUGAAAAGUGUCCUUCAGAGUCUGGUCUGUACAGGAAGAAAGCAGGUGGUUCUGCACUGAUUGUGGGUGUGUAUGUGGAUGAUCUAGUCAUCACAGGAGGAAGUGAGCAAGCCAUUGAGGAUUUCAAAAGGCAGAUGAAAUUCAGGUUCAGCAUGACAGAUUUGGGUCUAUUGAGCUAUUACUUGGGCAUAGAGGUAAAGCAAUCAGAGAAGGGCAUUACUCUUUGUCAAACUGGCUAUGCUUCACGGAUACUUGAAAAGAUGGGGAUGACAAACUGUAAUGCAAGUCACACACCUAUGGAGCCAAGACUGAAACUGUCGAGAACAAGUCAGGCUGAGGAAGUUGAUCCAACUGAAUAUCGAAGCAUAGUUGGGAGUUUAAGGUAUUUGUUGCACACAAGACCAGAUCUCAGCUUUGCAGUUGGAUAUGUCAGCAGAUUCAUGGAAAGGCCAACCAAGGAUCAUAAAACAGCAGUAAAACACAUAUUAAGAUAUGUGAAAGGCACACUCAGUUUGGGCUGUAGCUACAAGAAAACUGAAGGAAAACCACAACUGUUGGGUUACUCUGACAGUGACCACGCAGGCGACAUUGAUGAUCGGAAAAGCACUACGGGGGUGCUGUACUACUAUGGCAAUUGCCUAGUGUCUUGGAUGACUCAGAAACAGAAGAUUGUCGCUCAAUCAUCAUGUGAGGCAGAAUAUGUGGCUGCUGCUUCUGCUGCUUGUCAGGGAGUGUGGCUAGCAAGAUUAGUUGAAGAAUUGCUAGGCUAUGAGCAAGCCAAGGUCAAGAUCAAAGUGGAUAAUCAAUCGGCUAUUGCACUGUGUAAAAAUCCUGUGUUCCAUGAAAGAAGCAAACACAUUGAUGUGCGCUACCACUUCGUCAGACAAUGUGUUGAGGAAGGAAAGAUUGAGGUGGAGCACGUCAGUACUGGAGAGCAACAUGCAGACAUCCUGACUAAAGCCCUCCCAAGGUUUCAGUUUCAGGUGUUGAAAGAGAAAAUAGGAGUGCUUGAGGUGAGUUCAGGACCAUGUUUAAAGGGGUGA
rnacentral:rRNA from 1 species